GCGGGACACAGGGUGGGACACAGGCCCAGCCCAGCCAAGCCAGAUGUCUCCAAGAAAGAGGGAGACAAAGUUGUCCUUCAGCCAGGCUUCGUGAAUGAUAUCAUCACCAGUAUAACAUGGAAACAUGGCCCUCAUGACAUCUUGGAUUGGAGUAAAGGCAAGCCUGAAUGCUACGGAGACUUCAAAGGUCGCUGUACGCUGAACACUACAACUGGAGCGCUGACCAUCACAGACCUGACACUAAAGGACAGCGGGAGGUACACUGUAGAGGUCAACACCAAGUUCUUGAGGACGUCUAUUAACCUGGAUAUCUCUUGUCAUUAAAGGGUGAUGGUGGGUCCUGAAGCCAGACUAGUUGAGAACCACUGCACUAGAUGAAAUCUUUCCUGUCACAGGCCAUAAAUCUGCACAGCUCCUCAUCUGUUUGUGAUACAGGACUGACACAUUUUUACAUAGUAGUUUUUUCAUUGGUAUAAUUUCAUGUAUAUUUUGUAUGUAGAUUUUUCAUUAUUAUGUUGUGAUUAUUAAAGUAUUUAUCUAGCUAG